rnacentral:rRNA from 1 species
AUUGAACGCUGGCGGCAGGCCUAACACAUGCAAGUCGAACGAGCGGCGGACGGGUGAGUAAUGUCUGGGAAACUGCCCGAUGGAGGGGGAUAACUACUGGAAACGGUAGCUAAUACCGCAUACCAUCGGAUGUGCCCAGAUGGGAUUAGCUUUUAGGUGAGGUAAUGGCUCACCUAGGCGACGAUCCCUAGCUGGUCUGAGAGGAUGACCAGGCACACUGGGACUGAGCCACGGCACAGGCUCCUAAGGGAGGCAGCAGUGGGGAAUAUUGAACAAUGGGCGCAAGCCUGAUGCAGCCAUGCCGCGUGUAUGAAGAAGGCCUUCGGGUUGUAAAGUACUUUCAGUCGGGAGGCGUUACCGACAGAAGAAGCACCGGCUAACUCCGUGCCAGCCGCCGCGGUAAUUC